GACGAACGCUGGCGGCGUGCUUAACACAUGCAAGUCGAACGGAAAGGCCCUGCUUUUGUGGGGUGCUCGAGUGGCGAACGGGUGAGUAACACGUGAGUAACCUGUCCUUGACUUUGGGAUAACUUCAGGAAACUGGGGCUAAUACCGGAUAGGAGCUCUUGCAGCAUGGUGGGGGUGGGAUAGUUUCGGCGGUUGGGGAUGGACUCGCGGCUUAUCGGCUUGUUGGUGGGGUGGUGGCUUACCAAGGCUUUGACGGGUAGCCGGGCUGCGCGGGUGACCGGCCACGUUGGGACUGAGAUGCGACACAGACUCCUACGGUAGGCAGGAGUGGGGAGUAUUGCACAAUGGGCGGAAGCCUGAUGCAGCAUAGCCGCGUGCUGGAUGACGGCCUUCGGGUUGUAAAGCGCUUUCGCCUGUGACGAAGCGUGAGUGACGGUAAUGGGUGAAGAAGCACCGGCUAACUACGUG
rnacentral:rRNA from 1 species